UACGUAGGUGACAAGCGUUGUCCGGAUUUACUGGGCGUAAAGAGCGCGCAGGCGGUCGUUCAAGUCGAGUGUGAAAGCCCCCGGCUCAACUGGGGAGGGUCAUUCGAUACCGAUCGACUCGAAGGCAGGAGAGGGAAGUGGAAUUCCCGGUGUAGUGGUGAAAUGCGUAGAUAUCGGGAGGAACACCAGUGGCGAAGGCGACUUCCUGGCCUGUUCUUGACGCUGAGGCGCGAAAGCUAGGGGAGCAAACGGG
rnacentral:rRNA from 1 species